GACGAACGCUGGCGGCGUGCCUCAUACAUGCAAGUCGAACGCAGUGGGGACGGGUGAGUAACACGUGGGUAACCUCCCAUCAGAGGGGAUAACACUUUGAAACAGGUGCUAAACCGAUACUGAUGGAUGGACCCGCGGUGCAUUAGCUAGUUGGUGAGGUACCGGCUCACCAAGGCCACGAUGCAUAGCCGACCUGGGAGGGGGAUCGGCCACGCUGGGAAUGAGACACGGCCCAGACUCCUACGGGAGGCAGCAGUGGGGAAUCUGCGGCAAUGGACGAAAGUCUGACCGAGCAACGCCGCGUGAGUGAAGAAGGUUUUGGGAGCGUAAAACGCUGGUGUUAGAUAAGCGGUAGCUAACCAGAAAGCCAGGGCUAACUACGUGCCAGCCGCCGCGGUAAUAC
rnacentral:rRNA from 1 species